GUCUAACCCUAGCCAAUAGGGGAACGACACAGCAGCAGGGGCCACGUGCAUCAGGAAUAAGAACCCCUUUCCCACCCAGGUGUGUUCUCGCUAUUGUUCCAUCUGCAACUGAGCACCUUUUCUGCAGAAAGUAAAGACAGCCUUGCUAAGAGAUCAUUUGUCUCCAAGCUGACUUUUCUUUGCAGCACCGAUUAUCUAUUUCUAACAAUUUUGGGGGCUCGUCCAGGAUUACAGUCUCCUCUAGGGUGGGUCUCCAGUCCUCUCUUGUGAGAAGGCAUGCCCCACUACCUCGUUUUUGGCAGCCUCAGGGGUGAGGAACCGAGAUCCACCCAGUGUGAUGAAUAAACUGGGACUCUCAGCAACGUGGAAAGAAACUGGCUAGCAACGUAGGGUAAAGGAUCCUCACAUACUGCGGUAAUGACUCUGCACAGACCAAGGAAGGAGAAACCAUGGGAGCUGGUCUUUCAGCAGAGGCGCCGCCUUUGGAGUUUCCAGUACAUCAGCAUCGGCCUGGGGAUCACGUUCUCAUCAAAGGGUGGAAAGAAGGGAAACUUGAGCCAGCCUGGGAAGGACCCUGCAUUGUGCUGCUAACCACCGAGAUUGCUGUUUGUACAGCAGAAAAGGAUGGACACAUCACACCCUAGUCAAGCAAGUGCCAUUAUCAUCAGAAUCAUGGGUCAUUGUUCCUGGACAAUCCUCUACCAAAUUAAACCUAAAAAAAGCUUAGUCCAUCUAUCUUUUCCUUUCCUUUCCUUACCCAGUGCUUAUAUCCAUUACUAUUCCUACCACUAGCAACUCUUACCCCACUUUAGAGCACUUCUAUGGUUUAGGAGCAGAAGUCACUGGAAAGGAUCCUAUAGGCUUCUUCAAGGUAUGCUUUGUUCUCCCUCCUCCACCUCCUAUGGCUGCCCCUUUCCCAAACCUAUGAAAUCAAACUAUGACUCGCCUCAUGCCAAGUGACAAAAGCAAGGUCUCAGUAGUAGAAAUAGGAGACCUAAGGCAAACCAUAGCCAUUGAAACAGGGUAUAAAGAUGUAAAUGCCUGGUUAAAAUGGAUUAAAUGUUCUGUCCACAUGUUAAACAAAGGCAAUUGUUAUGCUUGUGUGCACUGCAGGCCAGAGGCCCAGAUUGUCCCCUUUCUACUAGGGCGGUCCUCCAGUCGACCGGGCGUGGGCUGCAUGGCAGCUCUCUUACAGGAUUCUACAGCCUGCGGUAACAAGUUGUGCCAAGUUCUCUCUCUGCUAUAUCCCAAAUUUCAACACCCUGCAGGUCAGCCCCCGAGGGCCAUCCAGCUUCCAUCUCCCAACACAAAGUUCACUAAGUGUCUCAGACUGAGAGACAGGACUAGCUGGAUUUCCUAGGCUGACUAAGAAUCCCUAAGCCUAGCUGAGAAGGUGACCACAUCCACUUUUAAACACGGGGCUUGCAACUGAGCUUACACCUGACCAAUCAGAG
rnacentral:lncRNA from 1 species